GGGGGGGGGGGCGUUGAUGAUCCAAAGAAAUUUAGUGGAUACAAUAAAGAAACAAUCGAAAGAAAAUAUACGAAUAUUCAAAUGAUUCGUGUCUCUAGUCAUUUAGCGUAGGGCACAAGAGGGCGCUCCGACGGGAACUUAGGCAAAGGCUCGUUCUUAACGUUGGCGUCUUAUGAGAGUUCUCGUCUGUAAUUUCUUUUUGCCACUUUUUCGAUAUCCCGAUUUGUUCGAGAGAAACGAAUGCCGAGUAAGAGUGACUUUUGAAAGUGAUUGAGAUAAUACGAUCAUCUCAUCACCAUCCAUCUCGAGCAUGUAGAUAGUUAAGAUAACCGGUCAGCAAUGAGAUAAUGUAUGCGAACGACGUAUGCGUGUGUAUGUUUGCUUGAAAGUGGAAGAAUUUCGGGAUAAUAAGGUAAACCGAAAAAAAGAACUUAAAAGAGAAAAAUCUAUAGAGCUGAUAAGAGGGAACACGAUUCAAAAAAAAAAAGAGCACGCAGGGAACCCUGAUAUCAUCAAGAAUCGUAAAUCGUAGAGUAUAAAGUGAACAAAUGAUAGUUAAUGAAAAAAAAUAAGAAGUGGAAAAAAAGACGAUUUUGAAAAAUCUUAUGUAAAACCAACCUUCGACAAAGCAACAAGACGUUCCCGUUUCUUGGAGUUUGGCUAUUUUCAUCUUUCUUUCAAUUCCUAACUCGAGGCAUCGUGCAAGAUCGGAUAUAAUUUCGUGAAAAAUUUUUGGACUUUACAUCAAGACAACGCGUGGUUAUACGUUCGUGUGAAUUUUGAAUAUAUUUUGUACGGGUAUCUGCAAUCUGUCAUGCACGCAAGGAUACGUGAGUGGGAUAAUGAGUCAGAGGGAGAAUAGCCAGAGGAUACAGGAACUAGAGGAUCCAAGAGAGAAGAGGGGUGUGUUUACGAAAUGAAAAAUCCUAUUGAAAAAUGUUUAAAAAGUCACGGGGAACUGUGUAAAAGCAAUCCGUGACACGAUUUGAUGGACAGCCCAUGAAAUCCAUCAGAAAUACUGCCUCUACAUUAAGAGUUAUUAACCUGAACUAAUUAACGGAAUAUGGUGAGUGAGGGAAGGGGAGGGGUGGUUGGGAGAUACUAAACGAAGAAAAACAAUCGUGUACGUACGGACGAGAGUGCACGCGAAGACUCACACGAAUUCGACUAAGGUGAAUGGGAAGGUAGAUUUUUGAAUCGCGCGCGUUUUUUUUUGUUUAGAAUAUUUGAAAAAUAUUCUCUCUACGUUGUGCGGCCAUUUUAGGUAAAACGAGUAUAUAUACACGUGUUAGGUGUGCCUGCGUGCGCGGCUGUAGUACGUUGCGUGUGCGUGUGUGUAUAAUAAAUGAUUAGGGGGGAGACGAUAUAAUCGCACGCUAAUUGUUUAUCGCGCAUGCGCAGCCUUGGAAAGCGGAAACGGAGGGAGUGACGUCAGGAAUGAAAGGAAGCAGAGGAAGAGGGAAUAAACAAACGGAUGAGAGAAAAGAGGAGGGGAGUUACACAAGAGAGAAGACACAUUGGAGCUGCGUACUUUAGUGACGUUAAACUUAAAGAGAGAAAGAAAAUAUAAGAGUGCAAGCGAGAAAAGCGGAAGUGCACGAGCUCGUUCUGUGACGCGAGCGAUGGAUCGAGGCUUAAGGCAACUUCCGGUGGCCGAAUCUAUUAUUGAUUUAGAAUAAGGAAAAAGGAGCAUGACAAGAUCGAGAAAUGUAUUAUUAAAGGUAUAGACUUUUUUUUAGAGUUCAUUCCUUUUCUCUUCUCGAUUCUUUGUUAUUUUUCCUUUUUCCUUUUUUUUUUUUUUUUGAAAAAUAAAAUGGACUCAAGGUUCCACCAUUGGCGGUUUGCGAAAUAGAAUUAGUUCCAUGAUCGCGUCUAUGUUUCUUCGCGAUUCUCAUCGUGUCUCCAGUACUGCUCCCAAUUAUGACCUCGUAUACAAAGAAGAAGAAAAAAGUGGAAAGAUGGCCGCGAUGAGUAUCCCCUGAUGGCUUUUCCAUUAUAUCGGAUAGAAUUGUUUUGUAUUCAGUCACUAAUUCGACUGUUGGCUAUAAGGGUCCUUCGCUUUGUCACGAAUCCUAUGAUGUAUGAGCAACCGGCGACGUUCGCCAUUCGAUUCUCGUCCCGUUGCUGCCAAACGAUUUAUUCGAUUAAUCAUUUUUAUUUAAAUCGCUCAGCAGAGCCACAAACGGCCAAGUAGGGAACUUGGCGUCGAGCUGUAUCUGCGUUUACGGCCGUUUCGAUGUCCCUUAUCGCCCAUUGUGUAUCGCGCAUGCGCGUUGCCGCCAGCGACACGUAGUGACGCGUUCACGAAAUGGUGUUCAAACGAAACCACCGCCAUGUUCAAUCCUCGUCCUGUCUGAUAGUUUUGAAACGGUCGAGAACGGCCACGUGGUUUCCUGUUUUACUGUACGAGACGCGAGAGUGCGCAUGCGCGAUAGCGAAUAGCACAAUUUCAUCAUUUCGAUCUAAUGUCAGCCACUAUUGUCGCUGUUCUAUAUUGCUUCUAAUUCCUUUGUAUCUAAGCCUUGUUUUUCUAUAUAAAAGGAAAAAAAAGAAAAAAAAAAGAAAACAUAACGGCACGACGAAUUCGAAAGCGCGAUGUCCGCCUUUAUGUGUAACAAGAGGGUAAUAAAGGUAAUGGGAAGAGAGAACAAGUAAGAUCCAUGAGAAACAACACAAUUAUACCUAUAGGUACUUGUUUUUUAAAUGUCCCUAAAAUACUUUUUAAGGAGUCCCGACGAUUUUCCCGUGCGGUCCUGUCGAUUCGUCUAGUCGGAUGUUAGUGGCGGAAUUUGAAACACGAAAAACAAAAAAUCAAGAAAAUUGAAAAAGAGUCAUGCGAGCGUGUAUUCUGUGAAAUUAAAAAAUGUGUGCGUGCGAGAGUAUUAGGUAUGUGUGUCAUGUGGAUGCGUGUGAGGUGAAGUUCGAAUCGGAAAAGAAUUUUAAAAAAUGAAGAAACAACAAAAAACAAUAAAUGGGCAUGCGAGUGAAAUAAGGUUAUUAUGAUUAGUAUUAUACGAUACGUACAUAUAUAAUAUAUAUAUAAAUAUAUAUACCGUAAUUGGUGACGCUCGCGAUCGACGCGCCGCUGGUGAGAAUAGCCGGGACUCGCGUGCGACAACUUCCCAUUUUUAAAAACUCUUUAAUAUAAAAAUGGAUAAGAAUUCUCUAUACCGUAAAUAUAAUGGAUAACGUUAAUAUACGGAUGUAAUGCAUUAAAUAAUAAUAAUUAUUACUUAUAAUUAAAAGUACGGUAAAUAUCGAAUAACGGGGACACAAGUGCGAUAAAGAGGUGGCGAGAAGAAAGAACAAACAUAAGAAACUUAACAUAACCUAAUUCACGUUACGGGAAUCGCACGUAGCCGUCAGUCGCGACCACCAGAUGGCUGAAUCGGUGUGGUUUCUCGCAUUUCCCAUUUUUUUGCAUGGAAUUCGGUGGAUUUUCAGAAGGAUGACAAAGUAUUGACCAAAGAUAUAAAAAAAAGUAAGAACAAAGACAUCUUAGAGAGUAUCGAUUUCCGAUUUCGAUUGCUAGUUUAUUUCUACUCCAUUUAUCAAGACCGAGAGAAAAUGGCGUCACCCCCUUGCUUGAGAAACGGGAAAAGCGAACGGCUGCAAGGAUUUCCGCUCGGCGUGCGAUUCGCGUUUGGUCGCCCAAAUGAAUAAAUUACACAAAUUACACAAUUAGGGAGCAAAUAAGAUCGAGCGGAAAUGGCGGAUAUAAAUGAGACGGAAGGAAGAAGAGGAAUUCAAGAGCAAGGGAGGUGAAACAAAGGGAAAAUACACACGCGCACUAGAGGAGAGAAACAGAGUGCGUGAGGGUGUUGAAAGAGUGACGCAGAGAGAGAGAGAGAGAGUGAGAGUGAGAGAGUGCAGGGGGGAGUAACGAAUGAGGUAUAGAAAAGAAUAUAAGAAAAAAAGAGAGAGGUACCAAAGUUGAGACAAAAAAGGGAAAUUUGAAAAUCCGAGUGAAAAUAAAGGGUUGUGAAUGGAGAUAGAUACAAAAAUAGAAGAGGAAAGAAGAGAAAGAGAGAAACAAGCAACAUUUAUAAAUCUAUUAAUAUAAUUAUAGCAACACCGAGGAACAUGACGUAAUUGUGUACGUUUCUUUAAUAAUUCCAAGAGCGUGCGAGCGGCAUGAUGUUUGAUAAGAGCGAUAUAGAUUCUCUAAGGGUUCAUAGGUCGAGCUCUUAAGGCAGGAAGAUGUAGUUCUUGUAACGGCGCGUGGCGCCCUCUUCGUUUUUUUGCUAGAUAAAGAAAAAAUACAAGAAUGGGGAUACACGUCCCCGUGGGGCUUAUUACGAAAUCUUAUCACGCGAGAUGCAAACGGGAAAUAUACAAAGGGUGGGGACAAGAUGAGAUAAGAAAGAGAGGAGAGCACGAAAUAAAAAAUAAAAGAAAGAGUUAGAGAGGAAAACUAUUGUUUUGCAAAAAAAAAAGAAAAAUGGGAGAAUAGAAAAAGAGGAUUAAAAAAGAGAAGAAAAUACGGUGACGAAGAAACCAAUUAUUAUUCAUUACGGAUUACGUAUUAUUAUUAUUAUUACCAUUUAUUAAUUAUUGAUUAUUGAUUAUACUUAUACUUGAUGUGAGUGUGGAAAAAAAUAAAGUGUAUGUAGUAGAAUGCCGACCCUUAUUGGCUACGUAUUUGAAGUAGUCAGCGCCGCUUGUGGCCUAUUCUGGCGACUUCGUACAUGCAGAAUAACAUAAGGACUUAUGCACGAAUAUAUUAUUCAUAAGAUUUCUUUUAAUAGAUAUGUUUACAAAACUUAUUUGAAACCGAGUUUUGGACUAUGAUGAUGAAAGAAAUUGUUUAAAAUUUGUUGGGUAACGCGUUCAUUAAUUUUCAAAGAAAAAGAAGGCGUGAUGUUUCUGCCGUGAUUUGUCGUCUGCUAUAGACAACGGUAGUCAGUCCGUGGAACACCACGGGAUAGUUGGUAUUUGUUUGUCUGUUGUAUUGUCGGUUAGAUGAAUUUUACAAUUAAAAAUGGCUUCCAGCCUCCAUUAGUCAUACGAUCGGUUUUAAUCACCAGGGAAUAAUUUAGGACAAAGCCCUAUCAGUUUGCUAUGUUGUACGAGUUCAGCAGGUACGAGACACCGACUCAAACACAGUGAUAGCGUGCAGUAAUACACGCCGUACAUCCGUCACUCUGCCAACUCACAGGGUCUGGUUGCAACUUAACAAAAACUACCAUGUUCAAGAGGUUUUGUGACCGAAACGAAUCCGAAACAGGAAUGGGGCAGUCAAUCCAUUUUGCAACUUAGAAAAGAGUUCCACACCAUUUCGAUGAUUGAAGUAAACGGACGUGUCAACGUUUUGCUGAGGUGUUUCCCAAAUAUUUCAGUGCUGUCUGGAUAUUACAAGCAACCCCCGAGCAUUUGUUGUUUCAUUCUGCGAUUAAUGAAGAUAGAUCCAGCGUAUUAUCGAUCCGGCUUGGAAGAUUCAGCGUAGAUGAAUACCCGUGCUCCACCAGGGAUGCUGAAUUUAAACAUUCCUGAGUCAUCGAAUCCAUCACAGUAUCCGGAUCUUCGAUGAAUCCCGACGUCCAUCAGCCUCUCCAUCGGAUGCUUCCUGAAGAUGAUCCAAUUGGUCCAUAAUAAAUAAAUGUCAGCUGACACCAGAAGAAAAUCAGUUACGAAUGCCAGAACGGCGUUGAUAUUUCAAAAAUAACAGUUGCCUAUCGUAAACUUGCAUAAGCGACUCAGACGACCGUCUACCACUACUGCCAGUCAUAGCAUUGGCUUGCUGUCAAUCCACCAUUUUACUUAUUCCGCACGAUUUCCACGAGGCUGAGUUUCCAUUCGUCAUGCAGCUUUACUGAAUGAAUGUUAUCAACAUAAUUCAAGAGUAUCGCUCAAGAACGACGCGCAUCUUUGAGUACGCGCAUGCGUAUACGAAAGUCAUUCUUUCAUCUUACACUAUAACCUCACUAUCGUCGACUCGCAGUACCCUCCGUAAAGUCUGAACUAAACGUUAUAUACAGGGUGGACCAAUAACUUUGUCCACCUGGAAUAUUUCUGUUAUUUGUAAUAAUUUCAAAAAAUAUUUUAUACAAAACUUUUACGGUAUAGAUGGUAAUAUGAUGUUAUUAUAUUUUGCGAGGGUGGGGGCAUAAAGGAGCUUUCAAGGUCAUUUUCACUUUUUUAAAUGGGAUGCUACAUUUUUUUUUUCGUCGCUAUGCGAUAACCAGUUUUGAGACGAUUUCGGUAAGCUACUGUCAAUGUCAUUUAAAUUCAAAUUUGGUGACAAAGUAAACUUACAUUAUAUCGGAUGUUCAAAGUGUUCACCAUUUGCGUAAAUGCAAAGCUGCAAUCUUUGUAUUAUAUAUUUUCUGGUAUAGUAGUCAAAUAGCUUGCUGAGUUUGCCUCAACACUGGUCAUCGCAUAGAGACGAAAAAAAUGUAGCAUCCCAUUUAAAAAAAGUGAAAGUGACCUUGAAAACUCCUUUACCCCCACCCUCGCAAAAAAAAAUAACAUCACAUUAUGUCCUACAUACCGUACAAGUUUUGUGUGAAAUAUUUUUUGAAAUUAUUACAAUUAACAGAAAUAUUCCAGGUGGACAAAAUUGUCUAUCCUGUAUACAUAUAUAUCAUUCUUAGAUAUAUCACAGUAUACAAUAAUAAUAUUAAUUACGAUAUUAUUUAAUCAAUCAUUAUACAUAAAUUAUUGAAAAAACACAUGGAUUAAGUUAUGCCUUGAUAUAAUUUAUUGGUAUUCACAUUUAUACAGGGAAUACGUUCUCGAUUUUAGUUUAACAAAAUUUGCACCUCAAUCUGAAUAAAAUGACUGUAAUCGGGGCAGUCCUCGUCCUCGUCCUCGGUGCGCCUGAUCUGGUUAUAAUAUGAAAAGGAAAUGAGAUGACAACGGAAAGGAACGAGAAAAAGGAUCAUUUACAAUUUGUUACGUGGACUCUUGGGCGAAUUAAAAAUGCCGAAUCCGAAUUCAGCCGAAUAAAAACGAUCUACAACUACGGGAGACCAAGGGCAAUCUACAGAAGUGUAUGUCAUAAUGCAAACGGCUUGGAGUAAAUAACGUGACCACGUGUAGAUCGGAAACACGUGUUCCGCCCUGUCAAAUGGUAUAUAUCUUUAUUAGAUGCAUACAGAUUAUUGAUAGAAUAAUAAUCUAAAUAAAAUAGAACGAUAAAUCUGAAUAACCUUAAAAUAUAAAUAUUAUCAAUCUAAUCGAAAUGAAGCCUUGUAAGCAUCUGUAAAUAAUUAAUUUCGCUUUCCUUGAAUAAAAAGGUGAAUGCAUACGUCAACUCGGCAUUGGUUGGCAUCGCAUGGCAUUUUACAGUGCGGUACAGUCCGUAUGCAAUAAAAACUGCAAUGCACACGUUAUGCACGUGAAUGUCGAGGCUCUCUUAAACGGAUCACACCACGCGUGGAAACCAAUUGCAAUAAUGGAGUCACCUACUAAACUCGAGGCGUUUGCAAAUCGGAUUCGUAUAUUGUCUGGGGCCACGUCUGUGCACAUGUCCGCGCACAUGCGCAUUACUAACGCUUAAUAUUGCUGCGAGUAAUCGAAUAAGAAAAAAGGCCAGAUUCAAUAUGACCGAGCAGGAAGAACACGUGGAACGUAAAAAAACAAUUCAUGUUACGUUCACUCAGUUUUAUUUUCUAAUGCAUUAUCACACACAUUGACACGAGUCAGUGAUACAUUUUGCCAGUGAUCCUUCAAAUAUUAUCCAGCAACUGUUCUAUUGUUCUAAUAGAAUUACUUUCUCCGUGCAUCAAUUACGCACGUGCCUCAUUCUCUUUCGAUAGCUCUAGCCAAACGUACAGCAACUUGGGCAUUUCGUGCAAUUGCUCACGUUGCCAUGACGCUUUCACUUUUCAAUACAAAUAUUCGAGAUGCAGUAGGCACGGUGACUUAGCUGAUAGUAGUCAGUCAGAUUUGACAGCUGUGAUUGAAUCGAUCUAUUAACGUUUUGUAACAUAUUUUUUUUUUUAAUUCGAAGUGAACUAGGUUUUGUCAGACUCAUUGAGUGCAGGCGAAAAUAAUGUCAAUCUUUUGUAUUUAUUAACAUAAAAUGAUCUGGGUGAAAGAUUCAGAAAAUUAUCUAUAAAAUACCUAAAGUACGUGUACAAAGUCACUUUGAGAGUCCAAUUGAAAAAAAUUGUUUGGAUUUUUUACACAAAAUUAUUAGAGAAAUAUACGACCGUGCAUCCCAAUCGUAAAAAAGAAUGAAAAAAGUGUGACUAUUAAAAGUUGUAGCUGAGCAAAUAAAAUUAUAUGGAAUACGGGAAAGUAUUAUCCAGCCUCAAUUCAGCUGUCAUUAUGUGUGUCCUUGUCUUACACCUUUAAAUACACAUAUCACUGUCUCUUUCGCACUCAUAUAAGGUAUAGAAAAACUUCGAAAUUCUAAAUCUUCCCUAGUAAAGUGUCAAUAACAAUUAUUCGAAAUAGUCACAUGUUUUAUUCCGUACAUGU